UCGGAAACAAUGUGUGGCUUUUGUUUUCUUUUUUUCCUACACUUUUUUCCUCCUUUGCCUUCAUUCUUGGUGUUGGGGCUGGAGAGGAAAGUCUCUGUCUUGCCAAACUAAACAAAUUACGCUUUACAGUUCGGAGACUUAAAUGCCUUUUUUUUAUCAUCAUUUCCUUAGCUUUGAGUGUUGAGAAAAUAAAGCAGUAGUAGGUGAAGUGAUUGCAUACCCUUUUCUUGAUGGCCAUUGGCAAACAAAUCCAGCCAGUUGUUUCUCUUUAAGGCUAUUAAGUUUGCCUGGAAACCAUCCCUGGGCAGACCUCCCCCCACACGCUCUCCAUACCAGCAAGAAAUGAAUCAAUAAAGCAGAGCCCCUUCCUGCUAUUCUUACCACCCCUGCAGAUCUCUCCACUUCCCAUGACAGCGCGUGAGCUCAAACCCCUCUGACCAGACUGAAGGAAAGGCACUGAUUCGGCCGUGCCGGGAAUGCAGACGCUCACUUACGGUACCUCUCGGCAAGCAGGAGAUGAGCAGGAGCUGGAGGAGGCCUGAAAGUUCAGUGAAGUUUUUAUUUCCCUCUGUAUGGGAACUGCUGAAUCACAGCCUGAACCUCUGAUUGCUCACCUGAGGCGAGCACUGAGUCAGCCACAGGAGCACAGGUAAAGGCAACUCACCUGUGCUGCCAGAAGGGGUGGAGCCUGGCUGCACCUCUCCUAGGCCUAUUUAAGAGCUGACUACCAGUAGGGAAGGUUCUCUUCUGGAGAUCCCUCCUCUGAAGUUUUGCAGCAAGCCUAGGAUACGGGUAAGCAUUCUAUUUAUUCUCCCUUUGUUAUUAUAGCCUGCUUAGCUAAAUUCUUUCAUUUAUUUCAUAUUUAAAACAUAUUUAUAUUCAUCGAUUAUACACCGUCUGUUUUCACAAACUUCUGAAACUCUUGUUUCUGUUCUUGGAACGUUACCAGAAAGCUCUUCUUUUUGGCGCCUGCUCAGGUCAUUCCUGGAAGGAAGUCUGUUAUUCAUGUGUGCUGUUACCAAAUUGGAUGCCUUCACUGGGCAUCCUUCUUACGAGGACAUUUGGAGCCACUUCUCUCUCUUCUCACAGGCAGGAUUACUGCUGGAACCAACAGAGUCUUCUGCAAAAGAAGAAGUUUGAAUCAUUCAAUCAGGAGUGCUCAAAUGCACUCCCAGUGGAGUUGGUAUGGUAAUGUUUUGAACAAACCCUAGUGACUGCCUAGCUAUGCCCAUCACACUUGAACAAAUUCUGAAGAAACCAUUUAAAAGACAUUGUAAAAGAAAAUGAAUCCACUGAAAGGCUGGAAAGGGCUCGUAUCUCAAUGGAGAAAUAAAGCUCAAAUGAAACUCAGACCUGGAGCAUUAAGAAUAGCAGCAACAGCAGUUAAUGAGAGAUUAGCACUGAUGUUUUACUCCUUACUCAAAUUAUUACUGUUGAAUGAGGGAGCCCUUCCAGAGGACAGAUUACGAAGUGUUUGCCUUUAAAACACAGCUUUUAAAAGAAACUGCAGACCUUACUAUAACAUCUGAGGAACAUUUUAUAACUUUCUGGGAGUACUUAGUAUAUGCUUUGCCCUUUGAGCUUCAGGUUCUGCCAAAUCUUUGCAAUGCAAUAUCCAGCACUUGUGAACCAAGGAGAAUUGUGGCAGCCUUCCUACACAGGCACCUGCAGGCAAGGACACUUUGUGGGGCUUUUUCUGGCCCAAGCUGCACAAACUAUUCCCAGCUCUGUGCAGGAUGUUAAUCCUCAGUGACUGAUACAUCACAGUUGAGGAAAGCAAGAGGGGUGAGAAUGAGAGAAGCCAAAAGAGCAAGGAGCUGUAGUGCCAGUGCACAUUAUAGCUCCUGACCUAAUGGGACUUAUAAUGACAAUAGUUAUGCUUGUAUUUGUUAGAAAGAUUUUGUCAGGAAAGCUGGGGUAGUUUAAAGUUUACGAUUCCAAUUACAUUUCUGGGCAGGUGAUCAGGAAAAUAAGGCCAGAAAAAUAGGAGUCCUUAAUGGCACCUAACAA